UUACUCCUUCAACUGUAUUUACCUGUUUGAAUGUCAAAAUUUCAAUUCAGUCUAGUGCAGAAGAAUUGGAUUUUGUAGAUGCUGGCAGAUUAAAGUAAAUUUACUAUCCAACAUAAGAAGAAUGAGAUGACACAUUUUUAGCAGGUCAAUCAGUGUAAUAGGACAUGCUCCCCCCUUUUAAUCUAUACCAGGUAAUGGUGCACUGAUUCCUCUGUCUUCUCCGUUGUUUGAAAGACACAAUAGCACCUAAUUCUCAUUUUGUAGAGGAGAUAUGAAAGUAGAUUCUAGCUCCAUCAGACCAACAAUCAUCAUAUAUUUAUUAUGUAUUUAAAUAACUUAUUUCCUCCUCUCAACACAUUUUCCGCUUUCUUGGAGAACAAAUAUGCAUAAGAGGAGGAAAUAAG
rnacentral:misc_RNA from 1 species